rnacentral:snRNA from 1 species
AUUGAUUGACAGUACAUACACCAAUUGGAAGUACACAGAGAGAUUGGCAUGGUCCUAUGUGCAAGGAUAAUUCAAAAAUUUGUGAAGAUUUCCAUAUUUAA